rnacentral:tmRNA from 2 species
GGGGCUGCAAUGGUUUCGACGGGGCAUGAGGAGGGUGACUGAAGCCUGCUCGGUCAGAGCGAACCCGUAACAGCGAACAACAUCGUUCGUUUCUCCCGUCAAGCCGCCCCCGUGGCUGCCUGACACUCUUAACGGAGACGGGGUGAGGUCAGCCUUGUCACCCAAAUGACCCAUGGGGCCUGGAAGGGCCCUUCCCAU